GCGGAGCAGACUUGCAGAGAUCGGAGGUUGAUCGAGGCAAACAUGCGCGGAGCUAGUGAGCAAGGAUACACUCGGGUUGGUAGUGACACAGGCGCUCACUAGUGCAUUGGUUUGCGGAGAUGAUUGACAGUGAUCGGAAGCAGUCUGGUUCAAUCGGAUUUUGUGCUCUGUGAUUGGGCACGGUGCGUUCGGGGUUCAGCCGCGGAAGAUCUGGUCUUGCAAGGAGACACUCGGUCAGUUGGUAGAUACACUUCCGGUGUGGGGGUGGUGAAACUUCUGAUGGCUAGCAGUGACACAGGCGCUUGACUAGAGGGGCAGAACGGGAUUGACGAACGCGGAUUACAGCAUCCAGGGGGUGAUGCGGGCGCUCAAGCAGCAGAGGAGCGCGGAUAGAAAUGGACUUUGCUGCGGACAUCUCGGGAUUGGGAUGUGGAGCAUUCGGACAACGCUGCGGAUUCAACGAUUACCCCACUCGGGUGUAGGGGGUGAUUGUUGGGGUACACCCUUAGUGGGUGGGUGUGACCACAGGGGAUCACUUCCCCUUGUUGUAUGAAAAGUGCAGUGUGUGCACUGUGUGUGUGUGAGUAAAGCUGAAGGUGGAGCUGCCACCGUUAUUGGGGAAUUUGAUUUUGAAUCUACUGCAGAUCUGUCCGCUGAAGUUAUUGGGAGUGAGUUUGAUGGUGGUUCAAGCUCAGUCCACCUGAUUCAAUGUUAAGCACCUUCGGGGUGCAUGCGCCUCUGGGGCGCCUGGCUCAAUCGAGGUUGAGCAUUUGGCUUGAUGUGGGUCAAGCAUCUGAAUUUGUAUAUGAAUCUGUUGCCGGGACUUUUGA